UACAGAGGUCUCAAGCGUUGUUCGGAUUCAUUGGGCGUAAAGGGUGUGUAGGUGGCGCCGUAAGUCGGGUGUGAAAUUUCGGAGCUUAACUCCGAAACUGCAUUCGAUACUGCGGUGCUUGAGGACUGGAGAGGAGACUGGAAUUCAUGGUGUAGCAGUGAAAUACGUAGAGAUCAUGAGGAAGACCAGUGGCGAAGGCGGGUCUCUGGACAGUUCCUGGCACUGAGACACGAAGGCCAGGGGAGCAAACGGG
rnacentral:rRNA from 1 species